rnacentral:misc_RNA from 1 species
UGAAUCAACCUCCUAAUAAUCUACCGUUUUACUGAACAAUUUCAAUUGCAUCGUUUUCAACCAGAAAACCAUACUAUUUUCACUUCACAUAUAUGAUCCCUUUUAACAUAUAAAUCCCUCACACUUAAACCCGCCAUGGGACCGUUCCAACAGUGAACCUGACUGAGUCGAUGUUUCUGGUUAAUGAACCGAUUCGGAACCAAGAUAUAGGGGGCCAAUCCUUGUCGCCCUUCUGGAACCUGAACCGGAAACUGGUGGUUUUGAACCAAAGCUGACCCGAUUCUAAAUUUUUUUUUAAUCAUAUUGGAUUUAUAUUUAAGUCCCUUUAUUUUUUACAUUAGAAACUAAUAUCUAAAAAUUUUUUCAAAUUUAAUAACAUCCGACCAAGUGGAACCAAAUCAAAACCAAAUGAAAAACAUUACAAAUCAAAACAGUCUUGAACCUAAACCAGUCCGAACUGUGAAGCCGAUCAAACUAGCGAUUCUGACCCAAAACCGGACCGGACUGGAACCAACCCGCGGCGAGAUCAGCUUGCGCUAGUGGUGAAUCUUCAAAAAGAGAUCUAAAUGGUAGCUUAUACGUGAUUUGCUUAUCAAUCAGUGAACAGAUCCAAAACCCUGAAACAAGUGAAUGUUAUUGAGAUAUACAUACCUUUGAAUUCAGGAGACUUAUGCU